UGUUGCAUGAUGUUGCCGCAGGCUCUGCAUUUUUCUUCUUGGAUCUAAGCUAUUGUUGCUAAUGCGUUUGGAUUUGGACAAAAGUAACUUCCCCUGUUCCAUAGAAGAUUGAGUGAAUUUUUUAAAUAUCUUUUAGAAAAUAAGUGUACACAAAGUAGCUCUCUCUCUUUCUAUUACUCUGUCUCAUGUGAUAUUACUACUCCUAGUAUGUGAAAUUUCCUGCCAUAUUGACAAAAUGAGUGAAAUCUUAUGGUGUUCUCUAUGAAAUGGAGAUACCUAGUCUAACAAGAGUUCAAGUAUAGAAAAUGUGACAGUGGCAAUUUUCAAAACCUUUAACUAUUGAAGUACAUAAGAAACACAAAGUCCAUUCUACAAAAACAACAGCAGACGUGAUGUUCAAUUUUGCUAAAUUAUGCAAGUGGUAAUUCAUAUGGGUUUCCUUUGUGGUGAAGAUUUCAUCAGUACUGAUAGCUUAACUUAUUAUGUUAAUUCUAGUGCGGCACUAGCGAAGGUAGAAAUGUACUGAAUGUUCACACCUUUAAUCUUUUCAUUUUGUGAACACGCAUCAGUUCAGUAUGAAAAAGGAACAUAAUAAGUUAACUUUGCAAGUGAAUCAGUUCACCUUGAAUAAAAUACAGAAGUGCACCAUCAAGUUUUCCAUCAGUUCGCUUAUAAAAAAAAUAGAAAGUUGGUUGUGUAAAGAAAAUCGGAGAACUGAUGCGUGUGUAAGUUGGUUGUGUAAAAAAAUAUAUCGGUUGAGCAGAUGUUCACUCGUGCAAAAAAAGUGGAAGUUCAUGUUUGGAAAAUUUGAAUGUUCAAAGACAUAAACCUCAUAUGUUCAGGACUGAGUUUCAAUUUUUUUUCUAGAAGCUCAUAUAUGAAAUCUGAGAAAAUUUGGAGAUGAACAAUAAAUAAGUAUAAAUAAAAGAAAAGAAAAAAUUGUAAAACAGUAUGACAAAGUUCACUACGUAUUCCACCAUCAGUACAUAAUGAAAUAUCACAUGUGUGCGUUGACAUGCAUAUUUGGGGAUGGCUAGUAUACAUAAUGAAGUAUUCCACCAUCAUACUUUUUGGGCAUCAUUCGAUCUGGAUUCUGGACCAUAUUUGCUGCAGGUUGAAACCAGUGAAAAUGACUGAUGAAUAUCGACUUGAUUGAAAAUGUAGUCGAUUCUUUAGACCCUUCUAGUCCUACAUAUAGAAGUUGUGCCUGAUAGCCAUACACGAAUUUUCUCUCUGUUGUGCUUCAGUUAGAAGAUCUCUGAUGUUAUUUGCUUCAAAGUUUGUCAGCUGUUUCAGCUUUUGUUUUAACCUUAUUGGUUGUAAACUCUGUAGAUUUUUUUGCUUAAAGAUUGUCGGCAUUAUACUUGUACUGGGGCUGGAGGUCAAGUAUUAAUUCCAGGCAAGUUAAAAAUAUAAACCAUAGCAAGUUCUUUGUUCAUUUAGCAAAAUAGGUCAACGAUGUCAAUUCCCUAUUUGUACCAGGGAAGCUGUCUGUGUGCGCGGUGCCACUGUAUUUUGACGAGUGACUCCGUCGUUGGGUAACCAGUCACAACCGUGUGUUAUUGGCUUCUUGCUAGUGCGCAUACACGCAUGGUUUGUAUAUGGGAUCCUCAACCAGGACUGCAAGCAGAGCAGUAGAGCGACAUCCUCGCCGUGUGCCAACACGGCUUGUGCCACUGGUGCUAGUGUGGAUGAGUAACAAGUUCGAAUACCAGUCCACACCAAGUUCAGCAGUUCAACAGGGGCGCAGGGUUCAGUUCAACAACGACGAGCCAAGCAGCCGGCCUUCACAUCAGGAACUGGUGCAGUUCGAUCUUGUGCGAAUUGGAAAUUUCCUAAUGCUGAGUGUGUCAGUACAACCAUACGCUACAAGGCACACGCACAUCAACUUCACGUGUUAGUCAACAGUAUUGUGCAUUUGCUUGGCAGCUUUGCACUGUAGUUACAUAUGACUUGCUAAAUAAAAAAUGUUAUUCACCUUUCUGUGUUUUGUUUAAUAAUUCGCAUGCUUUCUUUUGUGAGGGCUACAAAUCAUAGUGCUUAAAAUACUGAUAUGUGCUUAAAAAGUUACAUGAGAAAGUACCCCUAUUCCAUUACUUUGAGAAGUACAGGUACACAUUUCUAAAUAGUACAGUGCAUGACCGGUGCUCGCCCUGCAUAAAUGGAGCCUUCAGCUCACCAUGCUACCUCCCGCCGGUGGGGCUCCGUCGCUGCAUCGCCCCCCGCCAUUCACUGCCACCAACCGAGGCCGUUCAACAAGACAGCGCCAAGCCGUUCGAUGCCGCAGCUCAAGAGGCUGCAUCCUUUCCCUCCCUCCACUGCGCUGAACCUAAAGACUUCUUGUUUCUCUAAAGCUGCCAAAUCCCGGUGCACCUGGUAGUCCAAACUUACACCAGAUGGCCGGUGACCAACUUCCCUGCCUCUACAAGCUCCUCGAGGAUGACUUGGUGGUAGCUGGGAUCCCCUAAAGCGGCCAAAUCCCGGUGCACCCAGCCGCCACUCGUGAUCCCCUCUCCUUCAGCUCCACUUCGUGGCACUGUCAGUCCACAUGAGUAGGGGCAGGUGCCCAUCAACAAAAAGGAACAAACGAUGGUACAGGAAGUGAUGAGGACAUGGCUACCACAGUUACACCCAUAUCCCC